CUAUUUACUAAAAGAAAUAACUGUAGCAAACUGAAAACUACAUUUCAAAACUCAAGUAAAAUAGAUUUAAUUUUGAAAUGUUCCCUAAUCUGUUUCUGCCUAAAAUUGGUAAUUCACUACAAUUCAAUGCUCAGAAAAUGAACCCCUGUAAUUUUUUUUUUGCGCAACAAAAAGUUCUAAAUUACUGGAAUGCUGACAUAUUUGGUGUUUGAAGACUCAAACAAAAGCAAAAAAAAACAAACACUU